UACGUAGGGGGCAAGCGUUGUCCGGAAUCAUUGGGCGUAAAGAGCGCGUAGGCGGCCCUGUAAGUCCGCUGUGAAAGUCAAGGGCUCAACCCUUGAAUGCCGGUGGAUACUGCAGGGCUAGAGUCCGGAAGAGGCGAGUGGAAUUCCUGGUGUAGCGGUGAAAUGCGCAGAUAUCAGGAGGAACACCGAUGGCGAAGGCAGCUCGCUGGGACGGUACUGACGCUGAGGAGCGAAAGCAUGGGGAGCGAACAGG
rnacentral:rRNA from 1 species